rnacentral:rRNA from 1 species
CCUACGGGAGGCAGCAGUGAGGAAUAUUGGUCAAUGGACGAGAGUCUGAACCAGCCAAGUAGCGUGAAGGAUGACUGCCCUAUGGGUUGUAAACUUCUUUUAUAUGGGAAUAAAACGUUCCACGUGUGGGAUUUUGUAUGUACCAUAUGAAUAAGGAUCGGCUAACUCCGUGCCAGCAGCCGCGGUAAUACGGAGGAUCCGAGCGUUAUCCGGAUUUAUUGGGUUUAAAGGGAGCGUAGGUGGAUUGUUAAGUCAGUUGUGAAAGUUUGCGGCUCAACCGUAAAAUUGCAGUUGAAACUGGCAGUCUUGAGUACAGGAGAGGUGUGCGGAAUGCGUGGUGUAGCGGUGAAAUGCUUAGAUAUCACGAAGAACUCCGAUUGCGAAGGCAGUUCACUGGACUGCAACUGACACUGAGGCUCGAAAGUGUGGGUAUCAAACAGGAUUAGAUACCCUGGUAGUC